GUACCUGCGGAGGGAUCAUUACCGAGYUAUUCAACUCAUCAACCCUGUGAACAUACCUAAACGUUGCUUCGGCGGGAACAGACGGCCCCGUGAAACGGGCCGCCCCCGCCAGAGGACCCCUAACUCUGUUUCUAUAAUGUUUCUUCUGAGUAAAACAAGCAAAUAAAUUAAAACUUUCAACAACGGAUCUCUUGGCUCUGGCAUCGAUGAAGAACGCAGCGAAAUGCGAUAAGUAAUGUGAAUUGCAGAAUUCAGUGAAUCAUCGAAUCUUUGAACGCACAUUGCGCCCGCCAGUAUUCUGGCGGGCAUGCCUGUUCGAGCGUCAUUACAACCCUCAGGCCCCCGGGCCUGGCGUUGGGGAUCGGCGGAGCCCCCCGUGGGCACACGCCGUCCCCCAAAUACAGUGGCGGUCCCGCCGCAGCUUCCAUCGCGUAGUAGCUAACACCUCGCGACUGGAGAGCGGCGCGGCCACGCCGUAAAACACCCAACUCUUCUGAAGUUGACCUCGAAUCAGGUAGGAAUACCCGCUGAACUUAAGCAUAUCAAUAAGCCGGAGGAA
rnacentral:rRNA from 1 species